rnacentral:rRNA from 1 species
AUUAAACGCUGGCGGCAGGCCUAACACAUGCAAGUCGAGCGCGAAAAUUCCUUCGGGGAUGAGUAGAGCGGCGGACGGGUGAGUAAUGCGCAGAAAUCUGCCCAGUAGUGGGGGACAACCUGGUGAAAACCAGGCUAAUACCGCAUACGCCCUACGGGGAAAGGACAGGGGAGUCUUCGGACCUUGCGCUAUUGGAUGAGUCUGCGUCGGAUUAGCUUGUUGGUGAGGUAAUGGCUCACCAAGGCGACGAUCCGUAGCUGGUCUGAGAGGAUGAUCAGCCACACUGGGACUGAGACACGGCCCAGACUCCUACGGGAGGCAGCAGUGGGGAAUAUUGGACAAUGGGCGAAAGCCUGAUCCAGCCAUGCCGCGUGUGUGAAGAAGGCUCUAGGGGUUGUAAAGCACUUUCAGUGGGGGAAGAAAGCUUGUUAGCUAAUAACUGACGAGUGUGACAUUACCCACAGAAGAAGCACCGGCUAACUCCGUG